ACACAUUCCAGUAUAGGAUCACCCUUUUCUUAUCAAUUGUUCUGCUAGGGAUCAAAAUUCAUUUGGGUUUUGCAGAAAGAUCUGAUCUUUAUCAGAAAUCUUGAGGUUUGGUGGAGGAUCGGAGGCAUGAAUUUCAGGAGCAUGGAGGAGUUUUGGGGUUUCUACAUGAACUAGCACACCAAGGCAGCAACAAGGCGGUGGCAUUUUACAGGCACAAUGUGUAGUAUACUGUGCUUGAUAUACUCAGUAGUGUUCAACUGGUGGUGUGUGGUUUUUGUGCCUGUUUUUGGGUAUGGCUUAGCAUGGUACAGUCAUUUCUUUGUAGAGGGAAAUAUGCCUGCAACUUUUGGGCACCCAUAUUGGUCUCUGCUGUGUGAUUUCAAGAGGUUUGGAUUGAUGCUCACUGGCCAGAUGG